rnacentral:rRNA from 1 species
UGGGGAAUAUUGGACAAUGGGCGAAAGCCUGAUCCAGCCAUGCCGCGUGUGUGAAGAAGGUCUUCGGAUUGUAAAGCACUUUAAGUCGGGAGGAAGGGCAUUAACCUAAUACGUUAGUGUUUUGACGUUACCGACAGAAUAAGCACCGGCUAACUCUGUGCCAGCAGCCGCGGUAAUACAGAGGGUGCAAGCGUUAAUAGGAAUUACUGGGCGUAAAGCGCGCGUAGGUGGUUUGUUAAGUUGGAUGUGAAAUCCCCGGGCUCAACCUGGGAACUGCAUUCAAAACUGACUGACUAGAGUAUGGUAGAGGGUGGUGGAAUUUCCUGUGUAGCGGUGAAAUGCGUAGAUAUAGGAAGGAACACCAGUGGCGAAGGCGACCACCUGGACUAAUACUGACACUGAGGUGCGAAAGCGUGGGGAGCAAACA